GACAGAGGGUGCAAACGUUGUUCGGAAUUACUGGGCGUAAAGCGCGUGUAGGCGGUCGGGCAAGUCGGGUGUGAAAGCCCAGAGCUCAACUCUGGAAGUGCAUUCGAUACUGCCUGGCUAGAGUCCCGGAGAGGAUGGUGGAACUCUCGGUGUAGAGGUGAAAUUCGUAGAUAUCGAGAAGAACACCGGUGGCGAAGGCGGCCAUCUGGACGGUGACUGACGCUGAGACGCGAAAGCGUGGGGAGCAAACAGG
rnacentral:rRNA from 1 species